rnacentral:misc_RNA from 1 species
GAAACGCGAUAGUUAAUGUGAAUUGCAGAAUUCAGUGAAUCAUCGAAUCUUUGAACGCACAUUGCGCCCUCUGGCAUUCCGGGGGGCAUGCCUGUCCGAGCGUCAUUACGCACCCUCAAGCCCGGCUUGUGUGAUGGGCCCCGGCGUCUCGUUCGCGAGACGGGCCCGAAAGGCAGCGGCGGCGUCGACCCGAUGAGCCCGAGCGUAUGGGGACUUCUGUCACACGUUCGCGGUGCGGACCGGCGCCUGCUUGACUUUUCUGAUUAUCCAGGUUGACCUCGGAUCAGGUAGGGAUACCCGCUGAACUUAAGC